rnacentral:miRNA from 1 species
GUAUUAGAUUGGUGCAAAAGUAAUUGUGGUUUUGCCAUUACUUUUAUUAGUAAAACCUGCAAUCACUUUUGCACCAACCUAAUA